rnacentral:rRNA from 1 species
AACGGAGGGUGCGAGCGUUGUUCGGAAUCACUGGGCGUAAAGGGCGUGUAGGCGGUCCGCUAAGUCUGAUGUGAAAGCCCGGGGCUCACCCCCGGAAGGGCAUUGGAAACUGACGGACUCGAGUCCCGAAGAGGAGGGUGGAAUUCCUGGUGUAGCGGUGAAAUGCGUAGAUAUCAGGAGGAACACCGGUGGCGAAGGCGGCCCUCUGGACGGUGACUGACGCUGAGACGCGAAAGCGUGGGGGGCAAACAGG